ACCAUUUGUAUCUUCAUUUGCUUGCUUGAGUUUAUUUGAAGCCAGGGGCUGCUUUCUCCUUCAAAAAAUGAGAACCAUUUGAUUUGGAAAAUGCCCAAGCAUGUGAGAGCAUUUUUUUAAUCUUGGAAGAGUUCAGUUUCAUUUGCUUUCUUCCUUCUGUUCCAAGCAGGCAGUACAGAGCACUGUAUAAAUAGCCAAGCUUGUGCUACAUCCAGUUUGAGCGAUCCAAGCAUCUAAGGAGGAAGGCAAACAACAGCACGGCAGGCACUGAGCAGCUUGCAAAAACUAAAGAUGAUGUAUAUUUUAGGAUCAAUCUCCUGAGCAAUCUCAGGAAGCUUGGAUGGAUUACAAUAAUACUUGAGCAAGGCUGCUGGCAUUUAUAAAGAGCUGUCACUUACAAGAGGGGAUAAGUGCUAGAGAGAAUGUCAUUAUUUCCACAUAAGAUAAAUGUGAAGAGCUGAUACACUGGAAAGGAUGAGUACUGGAGAUAGGCUGAUGGCUUAAACUUUGAAAAUCUUCUCCAAGCAGAAUGGUCUUUCCGAUGACAGCACAGAUCUGGGGAUGAAGAACUUCUCCGAGCUGAUCAGAAAUGGCAUUACGGAGCUGAAACUUAAGUGGAGGAAGGCCCCCCUCCCAAUGAAGAAAGUACAAUGCACUUUCAGGCUCUGAUUCCUGGUGAAAAAUUCAAGCCGAGAGAAAACUUAACCACUUGGCAGGGAAGGAUGAGUUGGACAAUUUUCUUCAUGCAUUCCAAAGGGAACCUGGAUGAUGCCACGCUGAGCUUAAUCUCUGCAGCAUGCUUAGUGAUUUUCUCCUCCUGAUGCACUGCAUGGUACAUAGCCAGACACUUCUCUGCUCCUGCCCAGUGCCCACAAGGCAUGGUAUGGCCAUGGGUUGUGAGAGCUCAGAAGCUAUACUGUAAGUCCAGGUUAGCCUGAGGAGGAGGAUAAAGCAAUUGGCUACCAAGAUGGUAAUCACUAGUGGAAAUGAAGAAGAAAAAGGAAACCAAGAAAAGGAGAGCAAAGAGGAAUCCAUCCUGGCAAUGCUAGGGAUUAUUGGGACAAUUCUGAACCUCGUUGUGAUCAUUUUUGUGUAUAUCUACACGACAUUGUGAACCACAGAAAGAAAUUGGUAAAGACAGCUGACAAGAGGUGAUGGCAAAUGUUGUCAGUUGUUGACACACGACUCAAUGAGAAUUGACUCUGUAGUAUAUUAAGACGUCACAAAAGCAUUGCCUGUGGGCAGUGGAAGCUGAAGCACAAUUAAUUGAACUCGACUUUUUUUCACACAGUUACAAACAAAACUCCUUGCUGUCUUUCUCUCCCUGCUCUGCCUUUCUUCUUUGCAUUUGUUCUAGGUAAAUGACUGCAAAUAUGUAAGUAUCAAUUUUGUGCGGGAGGAUAAGCAACAGGAACAAUCCACUACGGACCUAUCAUUUCGAUACAGCCAAAGACUGGACACUGUUAUAAACAGUGAGAAAUGCAUAGCAUUUCCAUGCUAAGAUAUGUUCCCCAGAUAGCUAGGUAGCUGUCUUUCAUGUCCAUUCGGCUGCAUUGUUUUCUCUUUUGGAUUUUAUUUACAUUGAAGUUGGCAAGCUUUUGAUUUUAAAACGAACAUAUGGUGCAAUCACAAGGUGGGAGGGCGGGAAACAAAGAUUCCACUCAGCUGCCUGAGCAAACAAAAGAUAAAACCUUGAGCAAAGUAAAGUUACAUGACAUUUCUUUUCUCUCUCGUCGGCUUGACAUCUG